AACUGAAACAUCUAAGUACCCUGAGGAAAAGAAAUCAACCGAGAUUCCCUUAGUAGUGGCGAGCGAACGGGGACCAGCCCUUAAGUUGUUUAGAGAUUAGCGGAACGCUCUGGAAAGUGCGGCCAUAGUGGGUGAUAGCCCUGUACGCGAAAAUCUCUUUGCAAUGAAAUCGAGUAGGACGGGGCACGAGAAACCUUGUCUGAACAUGGGGGGACCAUCCUCCAAGGCUAAAUACUACUGACUGACCG
rnacentral:rRNA from 1 species